CUGCAUGAAGCUGGAAUCGCUAGUAAUCGCGGAUCAGAAUGCCGCGGUGAAUACGUUCCCGGGUCUUGUACACACCGCCCGUCACACCAUGGGAGUCGGGAAUGCCCGAAGUCAGUGACCCCAACCGAAAGGGGGGAGCUGCCGAAGGCAGGCCUGGUAACUGGGGUGAAGUCGUAACAAGGUAGC
rnacentral:rRNA from 1 species